CAAGAAGUUUGCACCCUGACCACCACCAAGCAGGAAGCCACCACCAUAGAUGAACACCAUAACAGGGAGAUUGGUAGACACUGCAAAGGAGAAGAUGUCAAGCAACGCAGGAUAAAUUCAGUCAUUUGAUAUCAGAUUUAAGAAGUUGGCAUUACCAGUGCUGCCCUGAGGAACCCAGAUGUUGAGGUAGAGACAGUCUUCACUUCCCACGACAUCAGUAGCGAGAAGAUUGAGCUGCAAGCACCUUUUGCUGUAGUCGUUGGCUUUCAGAACACCUGUGCAGAAGCUGCAUUUGCUGUGCCCAGGAUGAGGGCAACAGAGAUGAAAACUCCCAGCAUCGCCAUCCUCAUCAGUCGCUCAUGGAGACAGACCUUCUUCCAGCUGGCCACUGCAGCUUCUAGAGGUUCUGAUGGUAUGGUCUUGUCAUCAAAGUUGAUAAAAAUGGCAUUGUUUGGACGGCGAGCUCGAUUGGGAGCAAUAAGAUGAUCUUUAAGGAG